GACGAACGCUGGCGGCGUGCUUAACACAUGCAAGUCGAACGAUGAAGCCGGAGCUUGCUCUGGUGAAUUAGUGGCGAACGGGUGAGUAACACGUGAGUAACCUGCCCUUGACUCUGGGAUAACUGCUAGAAAUGGUAGCUAAUACCGGAUACGACCCUCGGAGGCAUCUUCAGGGGGUGGAAAGAAUUUCGGUCAAGGAUGGACUCGCGGCCUAUCAGCUAGUUGGUGAGGUAAUGGCUCACCAAAGCGACGACGGGUAGCCGGCCUGAGAGGGUGACCGGCCACACUGGGACUGAGACACGGCCCAGACUCCUACGGGAGGCAGCAGUGGGGAAUAUUGCACGAUGGGCGCAAGCCUGAUGCAGCAACGCCGCGUGAGGGAUGACGGCCUUCGGGUUGUAAACCUCUUUUAGUAGGGAAGAAGCGAAAGUGACGGUACCUGCAGAAAAAGCACCGGCUACUACGUGCCAGCCGCCGCCGUAA
rnacentral:rRNA from 1 species